AGCGAACGCUGGCGGCAGGCCUAACACAUGCAAGUCGAACGAACCUUUCGGGGUUAGUGGCGGACGGGUGAGUAACACGUGGGAACGUGCCUUUAGGUUCGGAAUAACUCAGGGAAACUUGUGCUAAUACCGAAUGUGCCCUUCGGGGGAAAGAUUAAUCGCCUUUAGAGCGGCCCGCGUCUGAUUAGCUAGUUGGUUGAGGUAAUGGUUCACCAAGGCGACGAUCAGUAGCUGGUCUGAGAGGAUGAUCAGCCACAUUGGGUCUGAGACACGGCCCAAACUCCUACGGGAGGGAGGAGUGGGGAAUCGUGCGCAAUGGGCGAAAGGCUGACGCAGCCAUGCCGCGUGAAUGAUGAAGGUCUUAGGAUUGUAAAAUUCUUUCACCGGGGACGAUAAUGACGGUACCCGGAGAAGAAGCCCCGGCUAACUUCGUG
rnacentral:rRNA from 1 species